AACAGUUUAGAAAGUCGUGCUUGUUCCAUCUCUGCUUGGGAAAAAUUCUACAGGCAAACAUGAUUGUGAUUCAAGACAUUUUCAGCCUACUCUGUGUCAUCUUACCGUUGAUGACCAUUUAUUUCCUCAUGACCAGACCUGCAAUGCAAAGGGAACCCGUGGAGAAUGAUGAACGUCCUGUGUUAGCCAGCAGAACGAUAGCAAAUGGGCAGAGGACAUGGGCAAGCGAGAAUAUAAGUCACAGUAUCCAACCAAGCCGAAAUUUUCCCACGGAACACGAUGAACGGUCUUGAAGAGUGGAAGGAAUUGAGUUAAUUAUUGUGGGUUUUCUUACGCCGGAGAACGCGGAGCAGAAUUGUGUCUGAAAGCCAGGGGCUAAUUGUAUGAUCCCCGAAAGAUAACAACACGCAAUAACAUGUAUUUAGGUAAUUGUUGUAAUUUCUGCAGCAUGUUAGUUAUUUUUCUCAGCAUAAGACGUAAAGCUUCGAAAGAAAUAAACGAAAAUUUACAUCAUCA